GAACCGAUUUACACAAAAACGAGUUGAAUACAACAUUUUAUUCUUCGAAAUAGACUCAGCAAGGCUUAAAAUUGCUUUAAAUUUGUUAAAAAUAAUUUGACGUUUCGUACUGAGAAAUGCCAAACAGUUGUCAAAACUUCCUUACAUAGGAGAAAAACCGUAAAUUUUGACAGUGUCGAAGAAUAAUAAAUAUUAUACAAUAAGUGAAUUAAACCAUUGUUUAUUUGCGAGAAGAAAAUUUAAUACCAGGAGCGCAAGCGAGUGGAUUAAUUCUUCGAGCAAAUUAAUAGGUUUAAUUCACGUGUCGAAUAUAUUUUUUUAUUCAAUUUUGACCAAAAUUUACCAAAAAAUGCAAGAAAAUGUUAAAAUUAACCGUUCGGUCUAUACAAAUCAUAUCACAUGCGAAUCAAAUUUCCAUAACAACGAGUUGUUUAUUUAUUUGCAAAAGUGUGAGAAUUGUAACGCGUAUGGAAAAAAUGGAUAGAAUCAGCGAUUUUAAAGAGAAAAACCAGGUUUUCGUGCCUGAAUUGAUCAUUCAAGAAGCUUCAGAAGCUAUAAAUAAAGUGGUGCCAGCAAAAUCUAAACAAUUAUACGAAAAAGAGUAUUCAAAUUUUUGUGAAUAGAGGAAGCGGAAGGAUGCAAAGGGAGUAGACGAGAGAAUAAUUUUGGCUUAUAUUUCUGAACGAUCCAAAAAUGCAAAAUCUUCGUCAUUGUGAGCGUAUUAUUCCCAACUGAAGAAAAUGUUAUCUGUUAAAGAAAAUAUCGAUAUAAGCAGAUUUCAUCAGGUAUCUGCUUUCUUAAAACAACACUCUGUAGGGCACAGCCCAAAGAAAUCUAAAGUUUUCAGCUUCGAAGAAAUGGAAAAGUUUUUAGACACUGCUUCAGAUGAUGAAUAUUUGCUGCAAAAAGUGGUUCUAAUUGUGGGAGUUUUUGGAGGCUGUAGAAUUGGAGAAUUGUAACAUUUAUUUUAAAUAAAAGUAUUUGUUGGUA